rnacentral:rRNA from 1 species
GACGAACGCUGGCGGCGUGCCUAACACAUGCAAGUCGAACGGAGAUAUUUAUUUCGGUAGAUAUCUUAGUGGCGCACGGGUGAGUAACGCGUGAAUAACCUGACCCGAAGAGGGGGAUAACACCUGGAAACAAGUGCUAAUACCGCAUAAGACCACGGACCGGCAUCGGUCAGAGGUCAAAGGAGGAAUCCGCUUUGGGAGGGGUUCGCGUCCCAUUAGGUAGUUGGUGAGGUAACGGCCCACCAAGCCGACGAUGGGUAGCCGAGCUGAGAGGCUGAUCGGCCACACUGGAACUGAGACACGGUCCAGACUCCUACGGGAGGCAGCAGUGGGGAAUAUUGGGCAAUGGGCGCAAGCCUGACCCAGCAACGCCGCGUGAGGGAAGAAGGUUUUCGGAUUGUAAACCUCUGUCGCA